CCCCCGUAUAUGGUGCGGACGCCCAGCGCUUUGUGAUACAUUUUCGAAGAGUCGAGUUGUUUGGGAAUGCAGCUCAAAUUGGGUGGUAAAUUCCAUCUAAAGCUAAAUAUUGGCGAGAGACCGAUAGCGAACAAGUACCGUGAGGGAAAGAUGAAAAGCACUUUGGAAAGAGAGUUAACAGUACGUGAAAUUGUUGGAAGGGAAACGCUUGAAGUCAGACUUGCUUGCCGAGCAAUCGGUUUGCAGGCCAGCAUCAGUUUUCCGGGAUGGAUAAUGGUAGAGAGAAGGUAGCAGUUUCGGCUGUGUUAUAGCUCUCUGCUGGAUACAUCUUGGGGGACUGAGGAACGCAGUGUGCCUUUUGGCGGGGGUUUCGACCU
rnacentral:rRNA from 1 species